CAGGAAGCCUUUAACGCUGCCCCAACAUAAAAGCGAGUCUGAACGAGGAGGUUGAGGAGGAGAAGCAGCACACAAAAAAGUCGAAGAUAGCUUUCUAUUUAAGAGCAUUUUUGCUCCACCAAACCUUCACUCAACCAUAGGAUUAUUGCUCGAAAAAGUGAGGUGUACGGCGUCGGUGCCCCCGCCAACCUUUUUU
ensembl:ncRNA F46G11.8 ncRNA